rnacentral:rRNA from 1 species
CACCGGCUAACUCCGUGCCAGCAGCCGCGGUAAUACGGAGGGUGCAAGCGUUAAUCGGAAUUACUGGGCGUAAAGCGCACGCAGGCGGUUUGUUAAGUCAGAUGUGAAAUCCCCGGGCUCAACCUGGGAACUGCAUCUGAUACUGGCAAGCUUGAGUCUCGUAGAGGGGGGUAGAAUUCCAGGUGUAGCGGUGAAAUGCGUAGAGAUCUGGAGGAAUACCGGUGGCGAAGGCGGCCCCCUG